GCCUCCCAUCCCCACCUGAUCUGACUGGCGUUGAACAGGGAGAAGCCGCUCAGGAAGAUGACGAGGCCGGCCACCGCAGCGGGUACCAGCAUGUCGUCCUCCCCCUGGGCACAGGUGACAGACAGCGAGGGCUCCCUGCCUCCGGUCCCGCCCUCAGGCCUUCUCCCAGCCCUGGCCCACCCCUCACCUUGUGCAGAGCGAAUCUGGUCUCAAAGACCCCAUUCUUCACCAAAUCCUCUAACGUGUCUGGAGGUCACAGGAAGUGUCGGGUCAGAGGGGUGAGGGGGACCCUGCCCUGCUCUCCCCACAUCGACACCCCUCCUGGGACGGGGGUGGGGCGCUGCACAGGCCACCUGCCCACCCCAUCCUUACCACCAGCUGCUGUCUUGCUGUUCAGUACAAAGUUGACAAUUCGGAUUCUGGAACACAAGAGCUCCUCAGGGGACCCCACCCUCUGUCUGGCCGGGUCCCAGGCCCCUCUGUGUCCCUAGUGGAGCCUCCAGCCUGCCUGCCUUGAUUGCCUGACCGGAGCCCAGAAUCUAAGACUCACCUGGGAGCCCGACCCCCACCUCUUAAGUCCUCUGUGGCCUGUGCCCCACGGCUCCAGGAUGGGGCUCUCUCAGGGUAGGCCCUCCCCUCCCAGGACCCCUCCCAGGGCUCAGGCCUGCACCGUUCCCUCCCAGAUACUGGGCCUGGACCCCCCUCCCCCCGCCUCCAAGCACACCUCCCACCUGGAGCCCCCGCACAUUCAGAGCACACUCUACGCCUUUACAUGCACAAAUCCCCCUCGCACCCCGUGAGCCAUUUUGCAUACAGGGAGACUGAGGCUCAGAGAGGCCUGUGCCAAGGCCAGGCAGGUGACAGAGGAGGGAUAUGAGGAGCGAGGGUAGAGUGGUGUGGAAGGUGGAGCCUCAGCAGGGGAAGGAGAUGCUUGCAGAGAAGAGGCUGGGAGGCCUGGGAGGCUGAGGAGAGAGGUCCGGGGAGGCGCAGCUGGUCUGGAGAGGGGAGGUGGGGACCCACAUCCCAGGUCGGGGGGGGGGGGUGGGGGGAGGGCUGGCUGGGAGGGUCCUCCCGGCCUGUCCAAAUCCCGCCCUCCCUUCGGGGAACACACGUAACCUCCAGAACUCUCCUAGAAGCAAGAACUGAAUUGUCCCUUAUCACAGACAGACACGGACACCGAGUCACGGAGCCCGGCCCCUGGGACCUCUGACACGAGACCACGCCUGGAAGCCUGACCGGACCAGGGACACGGCGUUCUGGGCCAGCCUCUCACCUGGUGGUGGCUGGGAUGGGGGCUGGCCUGGCAGGCUGCCCUCUGGCGGCAGGACCCUCAGGCUCCAUGAGGAGUGUGCGGUACAGAUCAAAGAUCCUGCUGUCGGCUCGGACCCCGAAGAACACCUUCUCGCGGUCCUCCAUCAUCUGGGGGGCGGGAGGGCGCUUGGGGACCUCCGCUCCGCUUUGGAAACCAUCCCCUUCGUCCUUUUUUGACACCGGCCUGUCCCUUCCACCUCAGGCACGAGGCCCCAGCCGUGUCUCCGGGCCCCCGGGACACACUUGUCCCCUGUGCCCCACACCAAGCCAGGCGCUCAGCCAGCACACCUUGUAAUGGAAGCCCUUUGUCCUGAGCUCCUCCAGGAACCGUCGCUGCUGGCAGGCCUGCCUGGGGUUUCUCUGGGUGCGGCGGUCAGCCACGAGGACGUAAUCCCACUGCUCGGAGGCCUCGGUCUGGAGGUAGGAGGCGCGAGGCUGGGGCCGGCACGGGGCCCGGGAUGGGUGGGACCCAUCUCCCCUCACCAGGGGACUCACCUCACCGGCGUUGAUCUCCAUCAGCGGGAGGCUGUCUCCUUCGGUCCCCACCAGGAUCCGGAGGCUCUCCUCAGCCUGGGAGUAGAGGAGGGUGGGGCUCAUUCCUGCGGGGAGAGCCCUCCCGGCCGGGGCGCCUCGGCACCGAGGGGCAGCACGGGGCAACACGUAAAGCAGGGGUGCAGGGAAACGAGAGGACGAGAGGGAAGCUGCAAGCGGGGCUGGGACCUCAAGGAGCAAGGAUGGCCGGAGAGGCGUCGGGGCCUCCGGCAAAGGUCUGUUCAAAAACGGAAGCAAACAGCUCCUCAAAUCCUUGAGAAAAGACAAGCAGCAGAGAGGGGUUUCGCAGAAGAGGAAGACACGGAACUCUCGACGGUCAGGGAAACACGGGUCAGGUCACCGGAGGCAUCCCCUCUACCCACUGGGUUACGGGCGUUUCAGUGGCCCGACCGCGUCAAACAGAUUCCCUGCGCACGAAUUUGCGAAACAAAGCUGAACAUCCUAGACUGUACAGCCGGGCGGGCCACCUACCCCUGAACAAGAUGCUCCCGGUAGCAUAUUGCAUACAGAAAUUGUGGCGAUAACCCGAGUUCCCACCAGCGGGUGGCUGGAUGAAGUUAUCCCGCACACGGUGGACAAUCACGCAGCAGAGACGUGAACGGGCUGCGACACGCGGAGCCCUGGGGACCAACGUGACACGGCUCUGAGCUCAGUCAAAGUCGAUGAGAAGCCCCAGAGGUACGUGCUGCAGGCACGUCCAGACGGACGGAUCAUAAGUCAGGGGCAGAACCUCAAGGAGGAGGCAGACGAGUCCACAGCCCCCGGGGCCCCUCCUGGGCCCCCCUUACUGUGGCGGCGUUUAUGGACAGCACGGGGCCUUCUCUCUCCCUCCCUCGGUGCUCCCCCUUGUGAGUGUGCUCCAGCCUUCCCGGCUGAGAAAGGACACGUGGGAAGGGGAAGGAGAGGAGCCCAGCGGCGGCCCCCACCCUGCGUGAUGAAGGUCUAGGUCACAGUGGUAUGGGUUAGCUGUUAGGGACCCCCCCACCAAAACACGGAGUCCUGGGUCAGCUUGAGAAAACAGCAGACUUUCUCCAGAGCCUGAGCGGUGUCAAAGCCGGAUGGCCAGGGACAAGGAGGGAGAGAGGGAACGUCACAGACGGGAGGUGCCCAAGGAGACGUGAGGAUAAGUGCCACGUGGGAUCCUGCAAGGACCCGGGAACAGGAAGGACGCAAGCAGGGCAGCUGGUGACAUCGGAGUCCAGGUGCCCGUGUCGGGCUCUAGGUUCUGGCCAGAUCCCCAGCCACGGGGCUGUGGCAUCGGGGCAGGAGGGCGAGGGGCGCUGAGAAGCCUCGUGCUGUCUCUAUACACCGCAGGAAUCUUUGCAGAGGCGCUAAACGUGCACAGGUGGGGAGGGGGCGGGCUCAGGCCUCACUCCUCAUGAGCAGACGGACAGCAGGCUGCGAGGCAGACCUGGGCCCUUUCGCCGCGGGGCCGGGCAGCCGAGGGAGUGGAGGUGCGGGAGGCGGGCGACGAGGGCAGACGGUCACAGUGGGUCCCAAGGGGGGAGCUCCAGGCUGAGAUGUGGAGGGGACCUUGGCCUUGGAGCCCAGAGCCUGGGCUGCCAACCCUGUGCGCCCUCAGGCAAGACUGCCCACCUCUUCCGGCCUGGCUGCAGGACGCGCCCUGCACCCCAGUGUGGCGCUAAGCGUGCUUCCCAGGCGGCAGCUCUCCGGGGAGGCGCAGGGACCCUGCAGCGUCCCGGGGAUGAGGGUGCGGGGGACGCCCUGGGGGCUGGGCCCACAGAGCACCCACCUCGCUCCUGCUGGGCUCUUGCCGUGGCCUCCUGCCAGCCCACCGCCCCUGCCGCCCUUCUCCUGGCUUACGAGCUCAGUGUGGGCCGUGGCUGUCUGGAACCACAUCACACCCUCCUCUCUAUCCUGCCCGCUGCCAGGCCUCCUUCCCCCUGCUGGUCCGCCCACCUCCUACCCCUUCCCUUCCACAACCACUUUCCACCCAGCUCAAGACCUGCCUCCUUCAGAAAGCCUCCCUGGACUGCUCCAGCCGGUCCGCCCUGAAGGGCUGUCAGGAAGAAUGCAGGCUGCCCGGUCCCAGUUGAAUCCGAGACAGACAACAGAUGCUUUGUAGUAUAAGUAUGUCCCAGUUAUUGCAUGGGACACACUUAUACCUAAAAAGAAAGUUUUCGUGUAAAAUUCAA